rnacentral:rRNA from 1 species
CAGUCGCCGCGGUAAUACGAAGGGUGCAAGCGUUAAUCGGAAUUACUGGGCGUAAAGCGUGCGUAGGCGGUGAGUUAAGUCUGCUGUGAAAUCCCCGGGCUCAACCCGGGAAUUGCAGUGGAUACUGGCUCGCUAGAGUGUGUCAGAGGAUGGUGGAAUUCCCGGUGUAGCGGUGAAAUGCGUAGAGAUCGGGAGGAACAUCAGUGGCGAAGGCGGCCAUCUGGGACAACGCUGACGCUGAGGCACGAAAGCGUGGGGAGCAAACAGGAUUAGAUACCCGUGUAGUCCCUGUCUCUUAUAC